GACGAACCGUGCGAACGUUGUUCGGAAUCACUGGGCUUAAAGGGCGCGUAGGCGGGCUGUCAAGUCUGGGGUGAAAUACCGCGGCUCAACCGUGGAACUGCCUUAGAUACUGACGGCCUCGAGGGAGGUAGGGGCGUGCGGAACUGUAGGUGGAGCGGUGAAAUGCGUUGAUAUCUACAGGAACUCCGGUGGCGAAAGCGGCGCGCUGGACCUCUUCUGACGCUGAGGCGCGAAAGCUAGGGGAGCAAACGGG
rnacentral:rRNA from 1 species